rnacentral:snoRNA from 1 species
UUUCCUGAUGAGCUCAAUUAUUUCGCUGUGUUCUUCCUGAGAUUCGUCUUUGAAGAAAUAUCAUCACCUUGGAGACCUGAAAC